rnacentral:rRNA from 1 species
AGGCUCGAAAGCGUGGGGAGCAAACAGGGAUUAGAUACCUGGUAGUCCACGCCGUAAACGAUGAGUGCUAAGUGUUGGAGGGUUUCCGCCCUUUCAGUGCUGCAGCAAACGCAUUAAGCACUCCGCCUGGGGGAGUACGACCGCAAGGUUGAAACUCAAAGGAAUUGACGGGGGCCCGCACAAGCGGUGGAGCAUGUGGUUUAAUUCGAAGCAACGCGAAGAACCUUACCAGGUCUUGACAUCCUUUGACCACUCUAGAGAUAGAGCUUUCCCUUCGGGGACAAAGUGACAGGUGGUGCAUGGUUGUCGUCAGCUCGUGUCGUGAGAUGUUGGGUUAAGUCCCGCAACGAGCGCAACCCUUAUUGUUAGUUGCCAUCAUUUAGUUGGGCACUCUAGCGAGACUGCCGGUGACAAACCGGAGGAAGGUGGGGAUGACGUCAAAUCAUCAUGCCCCUUAUGACCUGGGCUACACACGUGCUACAAUGGGAAGUACAACGAGUCGCUAGACCGCGAGGUCAUGCAAAUCUCUUAAAGCUUCUCUCAGUUCGGAUUGCAGGCUGCAACUCGCCUGCAUGAAGCCGGAAUCGCUAGUAAUCGCGGAUCAGCACGCCGCGGUGAAUACGUUCCCGGGCCUUGUACACACCGCCCGUCACACCACGAGAGUUUGUAACA